UCUAUCAUCAGGUACCCCUCACAACAUACAAUCUAUCAUCAGGUACCCCUCACAACGUACAAUCUAUCAUCAGGUACCCCUCACAACGUACAAUCUAUCAUCAGGUACCCCUCACAAUGUACAAUCUAUCAUCAGUAGUACAGAUCAAGUGGUUGUAAACUGUACCCCUCACAACGUACAAUCUAUCAUCAGGUACCCCUCACAAUGUACAAUCUAUCAUCAGUAGUACAGAUCAAGUGGUUGUAAACUGAACCCCUCACAACGUACAAUCUACCAUCAGUAGUACAGAUCAAGUGGUUGUAAACUGAACCCCUCACAACGUACAAUCUAUCAUCACGAACCCCUCACAACGUACAAUCUAUCAUCUGCAGUACAGAUCAAGUGGUUGUAAACUGAACCCCUCACAACGUACAAUCUAUCAUCAGGUACCCCUCACAAGGUACAAUCUAUCAUCUGGAACCCCUCACAACGUACAAUCUAUCAUCAUGUACCCCUCACAACGUGCAAUCUAUCAUCAGCAGUACAGAUCAAGCGGUUGUAAACUGUACCCCUCACAACGUACAAUCUAUCAACAGGUACCCCUCACAACGUACAAUCCAUCGUCAGCAGGACAGAUCAAGAGGUUGUAAA